UCUCUUGACUGGCACAUGAGCUGAUGCCU
rnacentral:piRNA from 1 species